CUGGAAGGGAUGCAUUUAUUAGAUAAAAGGUCGACGCGAGCUUUGCCCGUUGCUCUGAUGAUUCAUGAUAACUCAACGGAUCGCAUGGCCUUUGUGCCGGCGACGCAUCAUUCAAAUUUCUACCCUAUCAACUUUCGAUGGUGGGAUAGUGGCCUACUAUGAUGGUGACAGGUGACGGAGAAUUAAGGUUUGAUUCCGGAGAGGGAGCCUGAGAAACGGCUACCACAUCCAAGGAAGGCAGCAGGCGCGCAAAUUACCGAAUCCU
rfam:Gossypium arboreum cultivar AKA8401 contig_265555_1, whole genome shotgun sequence.